rnacentral:ncRNA from 1 species
UAUAAAUUUAAUUUUAAUUUAAGAUUUAAUUAUAAUUUUUCUUUAAAUAGUAUAUAAUUUUUAUACUUAAUGUUAUAUAUAAAUUUUUGUAGAUUUUAAUUUAAAUAAUUAAAUUUAUUUUAAUUUAUAAGAUUAAAUAUUAUAUAAAUAUAUAUUUAGAAUAUAAUUUUAGUAAAAAUAAAUAUUUGUGCCAGCAAUUGCGGUUAUACAAAUUUUAUAAAUUAAAUUAUUAAAUAAAAAAUAAUUAAUUAUUUAUUUAAAUAAAAUUAUAAAUUUUAGAUGAAAUUAUAAUUUAUAAAUAAAUUUAUUACUUUUUAAUUAAUUAAUUUAAAAAAAUUUUUAUUAAACUAGGAUUAGAUACCCUAUUAUAUUAUUUUUUUUUUAGUAAAGAUUUAGAUAUUAAAUGAUUUAUAACAUUAAAUUUAAAAAAUUUGACGGUAUUUUAUUUUAUUUAGAGGAACUUAUUUUAUAAUUGAUAAUACACGAAAAGAAAUACUUUUUUAUUAAAUUUAUAUAUUUUCGUAUAAAAAAAAAUUUAAAUUUUUUUUUUUUUUUAUUAAAAAAAAAAUUCAGAUCAAAAUAUAAUUUUUAAAAAAGAAAAAAUGAGUUACAAUAAAAUUAAAAUUUAUGAAUAUAAUAAUUUAAUUUAUUAUUGAAAAUGAAUUUAAAAGUAAAUUUAUUUAAUUAAUUAAUUUGAUAAAAUUUUAAAAUAUGUACAAAUUGCCCGUCAUUUUCAAUAAAAUGAAACAAGUCGUAACAAAGUAAAUUUACUGGAAAGUAAAUUUAGAAUUAAU